GUAGGGAAUCUUCCGCAAUGGACGCAAGUCUGACGGAGCAACGCCGCGUGUGUGAAGAAGGUCUUCGGAUCGUAAAGCACUGUUGUUAGAGAAGAACACCCGGUAGAGUAACUGUUACCGGCAUGACGGUAUCUAACCAGAAAGCCACGGCUAACUACGUGCCAGCAGCCGCGGUAAUACGUAGGUGGCAAGCGUUGUCCGGAUUUAUUGGGCGUAAAGGGAGCGCAGGUGGUGACUUAAGUCUGAUGUGAAAGCCCACGGCUCAACCGUGGAGGGUCAUUGGAAACUGGGUCACUUGAGUACAGAAGAGGAAAGUGGAAUUCCAUGUGUAGCGGUGAAAUGCGUAGAUAUAUGGAGGAACACCAGUGGCGAAGGCGACUUUCUGGUCUGUGACUGACACUGAGGCUCGAAAGCGUGGGGAGCAAACAGGAUUAGAAACCCUUGUAGUCC
rnacentral:rRNA from 1 species